AACCCAUGGUGUGGACAACUUUUGAGCAACUCCUGGAAUCUUUCCCAUGCUUCAGACAAAUUCCCUUGAAGCU
rfam:Glycine max cultivar Williams 82 chromosome 7, whole genome shotgun sequence.